rnacentral:rRNA from 1 species
UACGGGGGGAGCAAGCGUUGUUCGGAUUUACUGGGCGUAAAGGGCGCGUAGGCGGCGUGACAAGUCACUUGUGAAAUCUCCGGGCUUAACCCGGAGCGGCCAAGUGAUACUGUCGUGCUAGAGUGCGGAAGGGGCUACUGGAAUUCUCGGUGUAGCGGUGAAAUGCGUAGAUAUCGAGAGGAACACCUGCGGCGAAGGCGGGUAGCUGGGCCGACACUGACGCUGAUGCGCGAAAGCUAGGGGAGCAAACGGG